UCUGACAUUAUGAGAUAUGUCCUGCAGCAGGAGAAAGAAAAUGAACAGAAAUAAUUAUAAACUGCUACAGAAUGAUUAAAAGGUAUAUCUCCCUUAUUUAUUAUAGGUCUCCAUCAACAAAAGAUGUAAGGCAGCUGGAAUAGUAGGGAUUGGCUGCCUAUGCCUGGAUUUUUAUUCAUUGGUGCCCAUGUUGAUCUUUACCGUCUACCAAAAGCAACAAAGCUUUCUUCAAAAACAGUGCAUGGAAAUGAACUGAAAAGGUCUCGUUGAAUGAAGGAGCUUCGGCAAUCAUCACAUUGAUCGCAUUGUCUAACAUCAAAUAAGUGCUGUUAAAUCCCUUUGUUGUGUCUUUGCCUGCAAAGAAAACCCAAGGUCUCGCAUGCCUGUGUAUAAUGAUGAUUAAAAACUGUUUUGUAGAAAUGGAA